AAUUUCUUAAAAUCUUGUUUUCUCUCGUUGUCUUCGGAAGAAGCCCGACAUUUCUUAUAGGAAAUGGAACUCUUCAUAAGGUCGCCCCGACCCCUCCUCCCUGACCUGGGAAGACGCGCGCAGUCCCCGACCAGAGGACCUCAGACACAGGUGAAAACCAUCCAUUUCUUGGAGAAGUGCCACGGUGGGGUUGCAAGUCCCAGGAUCAAGUUUUCGAUGUGUCUCUUUUUCCCGUAAAGUGGCUGAAAUCUGAAGCUGAAUCUGCAAGUGUCAUGGAGUCAUUGAAUCUCACAGUCUCAACUGAUAAAAGUUAUUAAAGGUCGUCUGGUUCAGCCUUCUA
rnacentral:lncRNA from 10 species